rfam:Glossina pallidipes unplaced genomic scaffold Scaffold613, whole genome shotgun sequence.
AGGUCCCAUCAUCGGACGCGUGCUAACGACUACCCGCCCCCGUGGAGUAAUACCUAACGGUGGUCCCGCGGGGGAGAAUGGUAGAAGAAGCGUGUGGGAGGUAGAUUCUAGUACGUAAGCGCCAUGGAUGGCGAAUCUUGCAUGCUGCUACUAAGGAACCCGCAGUAUCUGUUGAAGAUUUUCUACCUCCA